rnacentral:lncRNA from 1 species
CUUGGUCUUUCUGCAAGUGCUGCUACGGCGACCAUUUUCCCACAAUGCUCACAAGCUCCUAUAGCUUCCCUUCUUCCCCCGUACCUCUCACCAACGGUGUCUUCGGUAUGUGAAAACCCAAUUCUUCAACCCUACAGGAUCCAACAGGCAAUCGCAGCUGGCAUCUUACCUUUAUCACCCUUGUUCCUCCAACAAUCAUCAGCCCUAUUACAGCAGUUACCUUUGGUGCAUUUAUUGGCACAAAACAUCAGGGCACAACAACUACAACAACUUGUGCUAGCAAACCUUGCUGCCUACUCUCAGCAACAGCAGUUUCUUCCAUUCAACCAACUAGCUGCAUUGAACUCUGCUUCUUAUUUGCAACAACAACAACUACCAUUCAGCCAGCUAUCUGCUGCCUACCCCCAGCAAUUUCUUCCAUUCAACCAACUGACAGCAUUGAACUCUCCUGCUUAUUUACAGCAGCAACAACUACUACCAUUCAGCCAGCUAGCUGGUGUGAGCCCUGCUACCUUCUUGACACAACCACAGUUGUUGCCGUUCUACCAGCACGCUGCGCCUAACGCUGGCACCCUCUUACAACUGCAACAAUUGCUGCCAUUCAACCAACUUGCUUUGACAAACCCAGCAGCAUUCUACCAACAACCCAUCAUUGGUGGUGCCCUCUUUUAGAUUUCUUAUGAGUUAUAGUUCAAUAAUAAAGUUUUUUGUCUGAUGUUUGUGGCUUCCCAGAAAUAAGAAAGUACAUUUCUAGAUUCUUAUGUGCUUCUAGUCUCCAAAUGUGGUUGAUAGUUAUUUUGCUCUAAGAUCAACAGUAAUGAAGUAUAAAUCAUCGUUGUGGUGUGCUACUCGGUUAAUUGAGCAUUAACACACACAAACAUGACGAGGAUGGUAUAAUCUCCAAAAAUGUGUACUUUGUUAGGUGGGACCCUAUAGCCUUGAUUAAUGUGCUAUGUUAGGCAUGCCUGGAAACGUGUGACGCAUAUGUUUUGUGAACCUGUUGAUAUUAUAUGUGCUUUUAUAUUACCAUAUUUUAUUAAAAUACUAAUAUUUAUUACUAGUAAGAUAUAACAUUCUAUCUAGCUUAAAAACUAACCAUAAAUAUUCCAUAAUAACUAGAUUUACCAAACUAAUAUACUAAAUAUACAUAAUAAAUACAAAAUUAACAAGACAAUAAUCAAUAUUUAUGAGCUUAAUAUAUUUAGACAUUAUGGUUGGUCGACGAUAAUCAUGCUAACUUUUCGUAAUUGCUUGAUUGUAAAUAUGCUUAGAAUAAUGCCUCUUUGUUCUACAUGGCAAAUAGGGACCAUUAUGGUGUAACACCCUGGGAACCACAAACACCCCGAAAUGCUACUAAACUACACAACUAACCUUCAUAUAUAAAAUUUCGACAGCAUCUCCUUUGAAAAUUUGCAUAGACGUGGAAGCAACAGAGUAUAAACAGAUAUCAUGAUAAGAAAACAUACUAGACAUUAAUAAUCUGCUAGAAAUGGGAAGAUAACCAUAACGACAUAAACUGAAUUAACUAGUGUGCACAACUUGUUAAAAACAAACAUCGUUGACAAGAAGUUUCUAAUUAAAUCAUGGUUGUGCCUGGGCAGCGUUAUUAUGAGAGUGAAGGUGGACGUGAUGCUACUUCCCUCAUUCCCAACAUGAAUCAAGUACCUGCAUUGAGCAAUGCAAGAGUGAGAUGAAAACAUCUCAGCAAGUAAAUUGUUUUGACGAGAUAUUUAAACCAAAAAAAUUUGAUUUACUCAACAUUUUAAAGGGAUCACAAUUGAGAUCAGAAAUACUUGUAGAUAUAGAACUCAAUAGUCCCAAAAUAACCAGUGCCAUCUCAUUUCCUCAAACAACCACAAUAGGUUGUAUAACACUUCCCUGCGUCAUCAAUACCUGCAAAUAUCACUUCAAUGUAUGCAUAGGAAUGCAAUGUUUAAGUCCUCUGCAUUCAUACUUCUUAGAGUAUAAAACCACACCAUCUGCAAAUAUCACUUCAAUGAAUGCAUAUGAAUGCAAUGCAUAUGUCCUCUGCCUUCAUACCUCUAAGGGUAUGAAGCCGAAUCGUACCCCUCCUCGGGCAACGUACGAUGCUAAGUUGUACCGGUACGGUCGGACCAUAGGUCACGACAAAACUUCAUAUGCAAGUGAAUCAUGACAUGUAUAUGGCUUGCUGCAUUUAUCAAUAUACUUCACUUCCUUCAUAUACAAUACAAACCUCAAAUAAUACUUCGUUUACCUUCAGAUACAAUACAAACCUCAAAUAAUACUUCAUUCACCUUCAGGGGUGUUUAUUAAUCUCGUGGGUCAUACUCGAAUCAUCAUCAUCAUCAAUGAUGAUUAAGCAUCAGUAUAAUACAAUCAAGUAAAGCAUCACCAUAGAGUUCAAUUAUGAAAGAAUUCGAUGAUUCUGAAUAUUAGAGUGUAUGCGAUGAAACAACAACGUCAAAACGGUAGCAACCACCGCUACAUUCAUUUGCCUUCAUCGAAGAAGAAAAAUGUACUAGGCAUGAUUCAGAGUGUAGACACCUGCUGUGGGGCUUAAAACUUAGUACAAAUAUUCCACAAACAUUUGCCAACAAUUAACAAAUCGCUCCUACACUUGAAACCAAGACCCGGUGGAAUGACUCCCACCCUGAACCACAUGCCAAACAAUAGUAGUGCUGUUUGUUAAUUUUGUAUCUUUAAAAUUAUAACAGUGGUGAUAUCAAACAAAUACUCUAGAAGUUUCUACACAAAAUACUCUACAACUUCGGUAUUCAAUGGAUAAUUAAAUUUUGCCAUCUAUAAGUUCUAAAACAUCUGAUAAGAUAACUGACUGAAUUUGUUUCAGACAGCAGCAUAGUUAACUUCAAAAUUCGAUAUCUCCCAAACUCCUCAACCAAAAAUUAUGAAAUUAUGCUGACAGUAAGAACUUUUUGUCCCUCUACAAAAGUAUCUAUAGUUGGAAGAGCCAAUUCGGCCAUUUACUAGAUGAAACCUACCAGUUAACAGACCCGCUCAUUUUUGUCAGGCAAACAAGAACCCUUAUAUAUCAAAGAGUAGUGGAUUUGAAUUUGUCUAAUAUGAAGUUUAUGGGCUUGGAUCAUUUAAAGUAUUUUAUAAUUCUGAAAGACAAGAUUAAACUAACUAUGUAUGAUCCUUUAGCACCGUACAGAUGGUCGAUGGGACAGUUACAUGGUUUAUAUAGAUGGACCUAUCUAUAUUCCUUCAGUGGUUGAGAAAAAGGUAAAGGUGUGUCACACUCACGUGUGCGCCGCCUCUGCCGAGAUGAGGCAUGGCGUUGCAAGGUGAGGCAUGGCAUGGUGCAGCACGAUCGCAGUCAUGGUCGUGGCACAGUGUAGCACUGUUGUGGAUAGAUAGAUAAACUAUUGUUGUAGUUAGAGUGCAUGAGUUUUUGAAUGCAACACUAGGAUUUUCACAAUUUAACUUAAUUAAGAAGUUAUAUCUUGAUGACACAGAGUUACCUGACCAUUGAUCUCACAUGCCCUUUUAGCUCUCUUGUUCUCUAGACUCACCCUGACUAUUGAGGUCUCUUGACUCGCCAAUAUAAACACCAUCCUAUCAUUUGCUCUCGAAUACUUUUGUGUCACAACUCAACUGUCAGAUGAGUACUCCAUUACAGCACUGAGCAGGCCUCCGAAAUGAAUAUCUACUCAGAUGAAGGACGACAAUCGUGUUCUAGGGAAAUAUCAGUGACACAACUCCUUACUUCCUCUGCUUCUUCCUAGUGUUUUUUGUUGUGAUUGAGUCGACACAGCAACAACACUGCACUAUUACAACCAGUACGACUAUAUUAACUAGCAAUGUCUUCCUUAUAUGUUACUAUUUAUUUUGCUCAUAUUCAUUAUGUUUAAAUCACAUAGGCACCUUUUUGUUGGCAUCAAAAAAUUAGUAUCAACUUUCUAGAUUAAAGUGAAACUAAAAGUACCUAAAUUUCUAUCGGUGGGGAUCGAGUGAUUCUUUAAACCGAUUAUUACACAAGUGAACCACACUAAAAUUAACAUUGGUGAAUCGUGCCAUGAUUUUUUCUAGUGGAAAAUAGCCAAACCAAGCAACACAUAUGUGGCUAUCGUUACACAUGUGUAAAGGUAUUGCAUCACACCAUUGUCACCCAUGUAUUUGGACAAUACCGAGAGGAAAAACCACUUAUUUAUUGUAUUUUAUCAAGUUUGUCUUGCUUACGUAUAAAUUAUAACCCAACAAAGUAAUCACUAAAUGUCAAAACCAACUAGAUACCAUGUCAUCUCUACCUUAUCUUACUAAUAUUCUUUUUGCAAAAUCCAAAAUUAAUCUUGCACAAGCACAAGGACUGAGAUGUGUAUAAAUAUCUCUUAAAUUAGUAGCUAAUAUAUCACACAUAUUAUUGAGACCAACUAGCAACAUAGAAAGCACAAUAGUGUACCAACAAUGGCAGCCAAAAUAUUUUGCCUCCUUAUGCUCCUUGGUCUUUCUGCAAGUGCUGCUACGGCGACCAUUUUCCCACAAUGCUCACAAGCUCCUAUAGCUUCCCUUCUUCCCCCGUACCUCUCACCAGCGGUGUCUUCGGUAUGUGAAAACCCAAUUCUUCAACCCUAUAGGAUCCAACAGGCAAUCGCAGCUGGCAUCUUACCUUUAUCACCCUUGUUCCUCCAACAAUCAUCAGCCCUAUUACAGCAGUUACCUUUGGUGCAUUUAUUGGCACAAAACAUCAGGGCACAACAACUACAACAACUUGUGCUAGCAAACCUUGCUGCCUACUCUCAGCAACAACAGUUUCUUCCAUUCAACCAACUAGCUGCAUUGAACUCUGCUUCUUAUUUGCAACAACAACAACUACCAUUCAGCCAGCUAUCUGCUGCCUACCCCCAGCAAUUUCUUCCAUUCAACCAACUGACAGCUUUGAACUCUCCUGCUUAUUUACAGCAGCAACAACUACUACCAUUCAGCCAGCUAGCUGGUGUGAGCCCUGCUACCUUCUUGACACAACCACAAUUGUUGCCGUUCUACCAGCACGCUGCGCCUAACGCUGGCACCCUCUUACAACUGCAACAAUUGCUGCCAUUCAACCAACUUGCUUUGACAAACCCAACAGCAUUCUACCAACAACCCAUCAUUGGUGGUGCCCUCUUUUAGAUUUCUUAUGAGUUAUAGUUCAAUAAUAAAGUUUUUUGUCUGAUGUUUGUGGCUUCCCAGAAAUAAGAAAGUACAUUUCUAGAUUCUUAUGUGCUUCUAGUCUCCAAAUGUGGUUGAUAGUUAUUUUGCUCUAAGAUUAGCAGUAAUGAAGUAUAAAUCAUCGUUGUGGUGUGCUACUCGGUUAAUUGAGCAUUAACACACACAAACAUGACGAGGAUGGUAUAAUCUCCAAAAAUGUGUACUUUGUUAGGUGGGACCCUAUAGCCUUGCAGAAUGUGCUACGUUAGGCAUGCCAAUGGAAACGUGUGACACAUACGUUUUGUGAAUCUGUUGAUAUUAUAUGUGCUUUUAUAUUACCAUAUUUUAUUAAAAUACUAAUAUUUAUUACUAGUAAGAUAUAACAUUCUAUCUAGCUUAAAAACUAACCAUAAAUAUUCCAUAAUAACUAGAUUUACCAAACUAAUAUACUAAAUAUACAUAAUAAAUAUAAAAUUAACAAGACAAUAAUUAAUAUUUAUGAGCUUAAUUUAUUUAGACAUUAUGGUUGGUCGACGAUAAUCAUGCUAACUUUCCGUAAUUGCUUGAUUGUAAAUAUGCUUAGAAUAAUGCCUCUUUGUUCUACAUGGCAAAUAGGGACCAUUAUGGUGUAACACCCCGGGAUCCACAAACACCCCGAAAUGCUACUAAACUACACAACUAACCUUCAUAUAUAAAAUUUCGACAGCAUCUCCUUUGAAAAUUUGCAUAAACGUGGAAGCAACAGAGUAUAAACAGAUAUCAUGAUAAGGAAACAUACUAGACAUUAAUAAUCUGCUAGAAAUGGGAAGAUAACCAUAACGACAUAAACUGAAUUAACUAGUGUGCACAACUUGUUAAAAACAAACAUCGUUGACAAGAAGUUUCUAAUUAAAUCAUGGUUGUGCCUGGGCAGCGUUAUUAUGAGAGUGAAGGUGGACGUGAUGCUACUUCCCUCAUUCCCAACAUGAAUCAAGUACCUGCAUUGAGUAAUGCAAGAGUGAGAUGAAAACAUCUCAGCAAGUAAAUUGUUUUGACGAGAUAUUUAAACCAAAAAAAUUGAUUUAAUCAACAUUUUAAAGGGAUCACAAUUGAGAUCAGAAAUACUUGUAGAUAUAGAACUCAAUAGUCCCAAAAUAACCAAUGCCAUCUCAUUUCCUCAAACAACCACAAUAGGUUGUAUAACACUUCCCUGCGUCAUCAAUACCUGCAAAUAUCACUUCAAUGUAUGCAUAGGAAUGCAAUGUUUAAGUCCUCUGCAUUCAUACUUCUUAGAGUAUAAAACCACACCAUCUGCAAAUAUCACUUCAAUGAAUGCAUAUGAAUGCAAUGCAUAUGUCCUCUGCCUUCAUACCUCUAAGGGUAUGAAGCCGCAUCGUACCCCUCCUCGGGCAACGUACGAUGCUAAGUUGUACCGGUACGGUCGGACCAUAGGUCACGACAAAACUUCAGAUGCAAGUGAAUCAUGACAUGUAUAUGGCAUGCUGCAUUUAUCAAUAUACUUCACUUCCUUCAUAUACAAUACAAACCUAAAAUAAUACUUCGUUUACCUUCAGAUACAAUACAAACCUCAAAUAAUACUUCAUUCACCUUCAGGGGUGUUUAUUAAUCUCGUGGGUCAUACUCAAAUCAUCAUCAUCAUCAAUGAUGUUUAAGCAUCAGUAUAAUACAAUCAAGUAAAGCAUCACCAUAGAGUUCAAUUAUGAAAGAAUUCGAUGAUUCUGAAUAUUAGAGUGUAUGCGAUGAAACAACAAAGUCAAAACGGUAGCAACCACCUCUACAUUCACUUGCCUUCAUCGAAGAAGAAAAAGGUACUAGGCAUGAUUCGGAGUGUAGACACCUGCUGUGGGGCUUAAAACUUAGUACAAAUAUUCCAUAAACAUUUGCCAACAAUUAACAAAUCGCUCCUACACUUGAAACCAAGACCCGGUGGAAUGACUCCCACCCUGAACCACAUGCCAAACAACAAUAGUGUUGUUUGUUAAUUUCUAUCUUUAAAAUUAUAACAGUGGUGAUAUCAAACAAAUACUCUAUACGUUUCUACACAAAAUACUCUACAACUUCGGUAUUCAAUGGAUAAUUAAAUUUUGCCAUCUAUAAGUUCUAAAACAUCUGACAAGAUAACUGACUGAAUCUGUUUCAGACAACAGCAUAGUUAACUUCAAAAUUCGAUAUCUCCCUAACUCCUCAACAAAAAAUUAUGAAAUUAUGCUGACAGUAAGAACUUUUAUCCCUCUACAAAAGUCUCCAUAGUUGAAAGAGCCAAUUCGGCCAUUUACUAGAUGAAACCUACCAGUUAACGGACCCGCUCAUUUUUGUCAAGCAAACAAGAACCCUUAUAUAUCAAAGAGUAGUGGAUUUGAAUUUGUCUAAUAUGAAGUUUACGGGCUUGGCUCAUUUAAAGUAUUUAAUAAUUCUGAAAGACAAGAUUAAACUAACUAUGUAUGAUCCUUUAGCACCGUACAGAUGGUCGAUGGGACAGUUACAUGGUUUAUAUAGAUGGACCUAUCUAUAUUCCUUCAGUGGUUGAGAAAAAAGUAAAGGUGUGUCACACUCACGUGUGCGCCGCCUCCGCCGAGACGAGGCAUGGCGUUGCAAGGUGAGGCAUGGCAUGGUGUAGCACGAUAGCAGUCAUGGUCGUGGCACAGUGUAGCACUGUUGUGGAUAGAUAGGUAAACUAUUGUUGUAGUUAGAGUGCAUGAGUUUUUGAAUGCAACACUAGAAUUUUCACAAUUUAACUUAAUUAAGAAGUUAUAUCUUGAUGACACAGAGUUACCUGACCAUUGAUCUCACAUGCCCUUUUAGCUCUCUCGUUCUCUAGACUCACCCUGACUAUUUAAGUCUCUUGACUCGCCAAUAUAAACACCAUCCUAUCAUUUGCUCUAGAAUACUUCUGUGUCACAACUCAACUGUCAGAUGAGUACUCCAUUACAGCACUUACGUACACGAGUUCUAUGAGAGCAGGCCUCCAAAAUGAAUAUCUACUUAGAUGAAGGACGACAAUCGUGUUCUAGGGAAAUAUCAGCGACACAACUCCUUACUUCCUUCGCUUCUUCCUAGUGUUUUUUGUUGUGAUUGAGUCGACACAGCAACAACACUGCACUAUUACAACCAGUACGACUAUAUCAACUAGCAAUGUCUUCCUUAUAUGUUACUAUUUAUUUUGCACAUAUUCAUUAUGUUUAAAUCACAUAGGCACCUUUCUAUUGGCAUCAAAAAAUUAGUAUCAACUUUCUAGAUUAAAAUGAAACUAAAAGUACAUAAAUUUCUAUCGGUGGGGAUCGAGUGAUUCUUUAAACCGAUUAUUACACAAGUUAACCACACUAAAAUUAACAUUGGUGAAUCGUGCCAUGAUUUUUUUUCUAGUGGAAAAUAGCCAAACCAAGCAACACAUAUGUGGCUAUCGUUACACAUGUGUAAAGGUAUUGCAUCACACUAUUGUCACCCAUGUAUUUGGACAAUACCGAGAGGAAAAACCACUUAUUUAUUGUAUUUUAUCAAGUUUGUCUUGCUUACGUAUAAAAUUAUAACCCAACAAAGUAAUCACUAAACGUCAAAACCAACUAGAUAUCAUGUCAUCUCUACCUUAUCUUACUAAUAUUCUUUUUGCAAAAUCCAAAAUUAAUCUUGCACAAGCACAAGGACUGAGAUGUGUAUAAAUAUCUCUUAAAUUAGUAGCUAAUAUAUCGCACAUAUUAUUUAGACCAACUAGCAACAUAGAAAGCACAAUAGUGUACCAACAAUGGCAGCCAAAAUAUUUUGCCUCCUUAUGCUCCUUGGUAUUUCUGCAAGUGCUGCUACGGCGACCAUUUUCCCGCAAUGCUCACAAGCUCCUAUAGCUUCCCUUCUUCCCCCGUACCUCUCACCAGCGGUGUCUUCGGUAUGUGAAAACCCAAUUCUUCAACCCUACAGGAUCCAACAGGCAAUCGCAGCUGGCAUCUUACCUUUAUCACCCUUGUUCCUCCAACAAUCAUCAGCCCUAUUACAGCAGUUACCUUUGGUGCAUUUAUUGGCACAAAACAUCAGGGCACAACAACUACAACAACUUGUGCUAGCAAACCUUGCUGCCUACUCUCAGCAACAGCAGUUUCUUCCAUUCAACCAACUAGCUGCAUUGAACUCUGCUUCUUAUUUGCAACAACAACAACUACCAUUCAGCCAGCUACCUGUUGCCUACCCCCAGCAAUUUCUUCCAUUCAACCAACUGGCAGCAUUGAACUCUCCUGCUUAUUUACAGCAGCAACAACUACUACCAUUCAGCCAGCUAGCUGGUGUGAGCCCUGCUACCUUCUUGACACAACCACAGUUGUUGCCGUUCUACCAGCACGCUGCGCCUAACGCUGGCACCCUCUUACAACUGCAACAAUUGCUGCCAUUCAACCAACUUGCUUUGACAAACCUAGCAGUGUUCUACCAACAACCCAUCAUUGGUGGUGCCCUCUUUUAGAUUUCUUAUGAGUUAUAGUUCAAUAAUAAAGUUUUUUGUCUGAUGUUUGUGGCUUCCCAGAAAUAAGAAAGUACAUUUCUAGAUUCUUAUGUGCUUCUAGUCUCCAAAUGUGGUUGAUAGUUAUUUUGCUCUAAGAUCAGCAGUACAACAACAACAACAACAACAACAACAACAACAACAAAGCCUUUUUGUCCCAAGCACGUUGGGGUAGGCUAGAGAUGAAACCCCGUAUGAAAACCUCAGAGCUCAACCCCCAAAGAACAGAAAAGGGAAACAAAGGCAAAGGAGAACCGAAAACAACGAAACGGGGAAACACAUAAAAGAGAUAAAACCCACAAGGACCAGCAAGAUCUAAAAUGGACACAAGAAAAGGUCAAACGAUUAAGGAGGAAAAGCGAAACUAUCAAUCAGGGUUCUGGCACGUGAAUUGCACACUUCCACCCCUUCCUAUCUGCGGCGAGCUCUUUGUCAAUAUUCCACUCCUUCAGGUCUCUCUUCACAGCCUCUGUCCACGUCAAAGUUGGUCGACCUCUACCUCUCUUCACAUUUUCGGGACGCCUAAUUAUUCCGAUAUGCACUGGUGCCUCUUCAGGUCUUCGUUGGAUAUGUCCAAACCAUCUCAAGCGAUGUUGCAUAAGCUUCUCCUCAAUUGGCGCCACUCCUACUCUCUCUCGUAUAUCAUCAUUCCGGACUCGAUCUCUCCUUGUGUGGCCACAUAUCCAGCGCAACAUACGCAUCUCUGCCACACUUAGUUGUUGGACAUGUCGUCUUUUAGUGGGCCAACAUUCUGCUCCAUACAACAUAGCCGGCCGGAUUGCUGUCCUGUAGAAUUUGCCUUUUAGUUUGCGUGGCACCCGGUGGUCGCAUAAGACACCCGCAGCUUGUCGCCACUUCAACCAUCCGGCUUUAAUUCUAUGACUGACAUCCUCAUCGAUGUCUCCCUCCUUUUGAAGCAUUGAUCCUAAGUAACGAAAAGUGUCUUUCUUGGGUACCACUUGCCCAUCAAGACUAACAUCGCCAUCCUCAUACCCCAUGGCACUGAAAUCACACUUCAUAUACUCUGUUUUAGACCUACUAAGCCUAAAACCUUUUGCUUCCAGCGUCUGCCUCCACAAUUCCAACUUUUGAGAAACACCACUCCUACUCUCCUCAAUAAGUACCACAUCAUCGGCAAAAAGCAUACACCACGGUAAAACUCCUUGUAUGUCCCUUGUGACCUCAUCUAUCACCAAAGCGAAAAGAUAAGGGCUCAAAGCCGACCCUUGAUGUAGUCCUAUGUUAAUUGGAAAGUCAUCGGUGUCUCCAUCACUUGUUCGGACACUUGUCACAACAUUAGUGUACAUAUCUUUAAUAAGAUUAAUGUACUUUGUUGCUACUUUGUGUUUUUCCAAGGCCCACCACAUUACACUCCUAGGUACUUUGUCAUAAGCCUUCUCCAAGUCUAUGAAGACCAUAUGCAGGUCUUUCUUUUGUUCUCUGAAUCUCUCCAUAAGUUGUCUUAGUAAGAAAAUGGCCUCCAUAGUUGAUCUCCCGGGCAUGAAACCAAACUGAUUUUGGGUCACGCUCGUCAUCUUUCGCAGGCGGUGUUCAAUGACUCUCUCCCAUAGCUUCAUUGUAUGGCUCAUGAGCUUAAUUCCACGGUAAUUAGUACAACUUUGAACAUCUCCUUUGUUCUUGAAGAUUGGUACUAAUGUACUCCGCCGCCACUCGUCGGGCAUUCUGUUUGCCCGAAAGAUGGUGUUGAAAAGCUUAGUCAGCCAUACUAUCGCUAUGUCUCCAAGACAUCUCCAUACCUCGAUAGGGAUACCAUCAGGGCCCAUCGCCUUUCCUACCUUCAUCCUUUUUAGCGCCUCCUUAACUUCAUAUUCUUGUAUCCUUCGUACAAAACCCCUGUUGUUGUCAUCGAAUGGUUCGUCCAAUUCUAUUGUAGCACUCUCAUUCCCUCCAUUGAACAAUUUGUUGAAGUACUCCUUCCAUCUGUUCUUGAUCUCUUCACUCUUCACUAAUAGUUGGUUUGCUUCGUCCUUGAUGCAUUUGACUUGGUUGACAUCCCUUGUCUUCCUUUCACGAAUCUUGGCCAUCCUAUAGAUAUCCUUUUCUCCCUGCUUUGUGUCCAGCCGUUGAUAAAGGUCGUCAUAGGCUUGACCCCGGGCUCUACUAACCGCUCGCUUUGCAGACUUCUUCGCUAUCCUGUACUUCUCUAUGUUUUCUGCACACUUGUCAUGAUGUAAGCGUUUGUAGCAAUCUUUCUUCUCCUUGAUAGCCUUUUGGACAUCUUCGUUCCACCACCAAGUGUCUUUAACUUCCCUUCUGUUCCCUUGACUCAACCCAAACUCUUCUGAAGCUAUCUUUCGGAUGCAUGUCGCCAUCUUCCUCCACAUGAUAUUUGCGUCUUCCUCUCCUGCCCAAGGGCCCUCCUCGAUAACUCUCUUCUUGAAAGUUUGGGCCACAUCCCCUUUAAGCUUCCACCACUUUGUUCUAGUGACCUUGUUAUGCUUAUUUCGUUGUAAACGAAUCUUAAAACGGAAGUCAGCAACGACAAGCUUAUGUUGGGUUACCACACACUCUCCAGGUAUAACCUUGCAAUCUAAGCAGGCAUGCCUGUCCUCUUUUCUCAAGAGGACGAAAUCAAUCUGGCUAGUGUGUUGGCCACUACUGAAGGUCACCAGGUGGGAUUGCCUCUUCUUAAAGAAAGUGUUUGCUAUAAACAUGUCAUAGGCUAGGGCAAAGUUCAGGAUUUCCUCUCCUUCUUGAUUCCUAGUCCCAAAGCCGAAGCCUCCAUGUACACCCUCGAAACUGGUGCUAGAUGUACCCACAUGGCCAUUGAGAUCUCCUCCUAUGAAGAGCUUCUCGCCAACUGGCACACUACUAACCAUGUCCUCUAGGCCUUCCCAGAACUCUCUCUUUGAGUUCUCAUUAAGGCCUACUUGAGGAGCAUACGCGCUGAUAACAUUGAGAACCAAGUCUCCAAUGACCAGCUUGACUAGGAUGAUUCUAUCUCCUACCCUCUUAACAUCUACUACCCCAUCUUUGAGGCUCUUGUCGAUCAAGACGCCUACUCCAUUCUUGUUUGUUGCAGUCCCCGUGUACCACAACUUGAAACCUGUACCUUUCACUUCCUUCGCCUUCUGUCCCUUCCACUUGGUCUCUUGAACGCAUAAAAUAUUUACCCGUCUCCUCACCGCAACGUCAACUAUUUCUCGUAACUUACCUGUUAAGGAACCUACGUUCCAACUGCCUACACGGACCCUAGUUGGCUCGACUAGCUUCCUUACCCUUCGCACCCGCCGAGGAAGAUGCAAAGACCCUUGCUCAUUUUUCACUACACCCGGGCGCCGAUGUAGCGCGCCACUAAGGAUGCGACGACCCGAUCCUUGCUCACUUAUCACCGGCUCCAGAUCAAGAGACAGCGCGUCACUUGAGGGGUGACGACCCGGCCCUUGCUCAUUUAACACCAUACCCGGGUUCCGAUAUGGCGCGUCGCUAAGAGGGUUACGCCCCAACGGUUUUCUUUGUGGUUUCAUCUCCAUAAGAUUUGGCUGGUUUUUUACGUUGGUUUGCCGGACCUAACACAACCCUCCUCCUUUACCGGGCUUGGGACCGGCUAUGUUGAAACGACUCAAGGAAGUCUUCCAAUCAACAUAGGCGGAGUUUAAGAUCAGCAGUAAUGAAGUAUAAAUCAUCGUUGUGGUGUGCUACUCGGUUAAUUGAGCAUUAACACACACAAACAUGACGAGGAUGGUAUAAUCUCCCAAAAUGUGUACUUUGUUAGGUGGGACCCUAUAGCCUUGCAGAAUGUGCUACGUUAGGCAUGCCGAUGGAAACGUGUGACGCAUACGUUUUGUGAACCUGUUGAUAUUAUAUGUGCUUUUAUAUUACCAUAUUUUAUUAAAACACUAAUAUUUAUUACUAGUAAGAUAUAACAUUCUAUCUAGCUUAAAAACUAACCAUAAAUAUUCCAUAAUAACUAGAUUUACCAAACUAAUAUACUAAAUAUACAUAAUAAAUACAAAAUUAACAAGACAAUAAUCAAUAUUUAUGAGCUUAAUAUAUUUAGACAUUAUGGUUGGUCGACGAUAAUCAUGCUAACUUUCCGUAAUUGCUUGAUUGUAAAUAUGCUUAGACUAAUGCCUCUUUGUUCUACAUGGCAAAUAGGGACCACUCUAGGAGACUAGGAUGUUGCUUGAGAUGAAAAUGUCAGAAUUGGUGUAGACUAAUUUCUAUCGGCCGCUGACUUCACUAUUGUAACCAUUAUAUCUUGGGUAAAUUAUAUACGAUUAUCCAGCCAAAGGGCCCAGAUGAUAAAAAACAAUUUUUAAUUGCUAUUUUAGGACAAAUGAAUUAGCAUGGUUCGAAGGAUUACGACCUUCCCCCCAUGACCUUUGUCAUACUGCUUUAGUCUAAUCGACAAAACCAAGAUUAGUUAUCAUCGAAGAAGUUCAUAAGCGAAGUUGUGACGAUGAAAGGAACAUGGUGGUAAUUGGACGAACGACGACACCUUUGUCUAAGAAUGGCAUCUAGAAGAAAUCUCAGACAAAAUAAGACAUGAAUGGCUUGUCAGUACAGCGCAAAUACUGAAACAUGCGCCCUUGAAUAUGAAACAUUUAUAUGUAAGAGGAAGGGAUAAAAAAACUAAUUACUCGUGCCUAAUGAUUUUAUUGGGAAUUUUAAGGCGAGACUUAUGGCAAAGGGUUAUACCAAAAAUAGGGGAGAGAUUAUUUCGAUACUUAUUCACUUGUUUCCCUUCAAAUGGCCAUACAUGUGUUACUUUUUUUGGCUGCCUCGCAUGGUCUUAUCGUUCAUCAGAUGAAUGUUAAGACUGCUUUCCCAAAUGGAGAGCUUAAGGAACAGAUCUACAUUGACUAGCCUAGUGGUUUUAUAUCAAAUGGUAAAGAGGAAAAGGUGUUUAAAAUAAUUGUUUGGUUUAAAACAAGCACCAAAGCACAUGAGAAAAUCGAUAAAGUUCUGACUUUGGCUAAAUUUGUUGUAAAUGAAGUUGAUAAAUGUGUCCAUUACCAGUUUGACAGGGGCGAAGGUAUGACCUUUUUAUAUGUGGACAAAAUAUUAACCUUUUGUAACGAUGUUAAUAUGAUAGAAGAAGUAAAGUAAUUUUUGUCUAGUAACUUAGAAAUAAACAAUCUGGGAGAGGCUAAUGUUGUUCUUAACAAAGAGAUGUUGAGAGAAGGAGGAAAUAGAGGGUUACUCUUGUGCAAUCCUAUUAGGUUGAAAAGUCGCUGAGUCGCUUUGGAUAUAGUGAUUACACGUCUGGUCCAACAACUUAUGACCCAAGUGUGUUAUUAAGGAAAAAUCAUAUAAUUGCAUAUGAUCAAUUGAGAUAUUGUCAAAUCAUGGUCUUCUCAUAUAUUUGGCAAGCCCAACGAUGUCUCAUAUCUGAUUUGUUAUGAGCAAACUCAGUUGCCUUGUCUCCAAUCUAGGGGAGGAUCAUGACAUGCCCUAGAGAGGGUAUUGCGCUUUCUCAAAGGGAUAUGAGUAAUGUCAUUUACUAUACUAGGCACCUAAGAGUACCAGAGUGUUAUAGUCAUGCAAAUAGGAUAUCUGAUGUUGAUUAGAUUUAUGCCACAAGUAGACUUGUGUGCUUCCUUGGAGGUGUGAUUGUUUCAUGGAAGUCUUGUAAGUAGACCAUCUUAACAAGGUCAACAAUAGAAGUAGAACUCACAACAUUAUAUACUACCAAAGUUGAAGUUGAUUGGCUCCGUGAACUCCUUACGGAUUUACCAGUAGUUGAAAAACCAAUACUGGUUAUCUCUAUGAGCUACAAUAAUCAAACAUUUGUAAUCGAAGUAAACAGUUCUAAAGUUAACAUGAUGUCUACAAAGCAUGUAAAAAUGGUUGAAACUGUUAAAACACUAAGAAACUCUAGAUUAAUUAUGUUGGACUAUAUCCAUACAUCGAAUUUGGUAUGCCAGUUUACAGAAGAUUUGUCACAUAAUAUGAUUCAAGGUGCAUCGAGGAAUAUGGGCUUGAGACCCACUUAAUGUCAAUCCAUAGUGGUAGCAGUUUCUAUGUGAUUGGAGAUCCCAUAAAGUAGAAUGGUGAAACAAGCUAGAGAAUGACUGAUGGAGAGACUCCUUAAAUAAAAUCUUGAUAAUUUGAGAUGCACAUUUCUCAUUUGAUGUAUUGUAGGCGAACUAAAAUCUUAAUAUGAUUUGAGUGACUUAUCUAAGCAGGGAUGUUAUCUUACAGAACAUCCUAGAAAGAACACACCUAUAUGAGUUUGCAUGUUAGUCAUAGUCUAUCAUGUGUGGUAAUCUUUAUAUACUCAUGAAAGGCUUGAAGUUUGACUUAUAUGCUUCAAACCAAGGGGGUGCUUGUAACAGUCUAGUACAAGAUAAGAACAUUGGUAAAACUCACUUAACGCAAAAUUGUCAAUUUAAGGCAUAGUUCAUUGUUUAGAUGUGAAUGUGUAAUCCCUGUUCUAGAUGGAUGGUCAACUUAACAGCCUCCACCAAAACCCUGAUAUCUCAAAGAGUAGUGGAUUUGAGUUUGUCUAAUAUGUGGUUUAGAUUUUGGUGGGGAAUUUUAAUAUUUUAUGGGCUUGGCCCAUUUAAGGUAUUUAAUACUUUCAAAAGACAAGAUUAAACAUGUGUGAAUAGUGUCAUGAUUUUUUUCUAGUGCAAAAUAGCCCAACAAAUCAACACAUAUGUGGCUAUCAUUACACAUGUGUAAAGGUAAUGCAUCACACCAUUGUCACCCAUGUAUUUAGAAAAUACCAAGAAGAAAAACAACUUGUUUAUUGUAUUUUAUGGAGAUUAUCUUGCUUACAUAUAAUUAUAACCCAACAAAGUGGUCACUAAAUGUCAAAACCAACUAGGUACCAGGUCAUCUCUAGCUUAUCUUGCUAAUGAUAUUUUUGCAAAAUCCAAAAUUAAUCUUGCACAAGCACAAGGACUGAGAUGUGUAUAAAAAUCUCUUAGAUUAGUAGGUAAUCCAUCACACAAAGCGCAAUAGUGUAGCAAAACUGGCAGUCAAAAUAUUUUGCCUCCUUAUGCUCCUUGCUCUUUCUGCAAGUGCUGCUAACGCGACCAAUUUUCUGCAAUGCUCACAAGAUCCAAUUGCUUCCCUUCUUCCCUCAUACCUCUCACCAGCGACAUCUUCAGUAUGUGAAAACCCAAUUCUUCAACCCUAUAGGAUCCAACAGGCAAUCACAGCAAGCAUCUUACCUUUAUCACCCUUGUUCCUCCAACAACCGCCAGCCCUGUUACAACAAUUACCUUUGGUGCAUUUGUUGGAACAAAGCAUCAAGGCACAACAACUACAACAACCUGUGCUGACAAAC